rnacentral:rRNA from 1 species
AGUGAACGCUCGCGGUAGGCCUAACACAUCCACGUCGAACGGCCGCUCAGUAAGAGCUUGCUUUUAUGGGUGGCGAGUGGCGGACGGGUGCGGAAUACCUCGGAAUCUACUUUUACGUGGGGGACACCGUCGGGCAACUUACGCUAAUUCCUCAUACGACCUUCGGGUGAAAGCAGGGACUCUUCGGCCCUCGCGCGAUCCAAUGAGCCGAUGUCGGAUUACCUAGUUGGCGGGGUAAAGGCCCACCAAGCCAACAAACCGUAACUGGUCUGAGACGAUGAUCAGCCACACUGGAACUGAGACACGGCCCAGACUCCUACGGGAGGCAGAAGUGGGGAAUAUUGGACAAUGGGCGCAAGCCUGAUCCAGCCAUACCGCGUGGGUGAAGAAGGCCGUCGGGUUGUAAAGCCCUUUUGUGGGGAAAGAAAAGCAGCAGGUUAAGACCCCGCCGUUCUGACGGUACCCAAAGAAUAAGCACCGGCUAACUUCGUG